UUUAUCCACUAAUUCUUGCAACUGAACUUUCAAUUCCCUUAAUUCAGCAGGAGCCAUUUUAUAAGAAGUCAAAAAUAUAGGAUUUGUACCUGGAAGCAGAUCAAUAACAAACUCCACAUCUCUAUCUGGUGGCAAUCCAGGCAAAUCCUCAGGGAAUACAUCUGGAAAAUACCUAACCACAUAUACAUCCUCCACAUUACUAGGAGCAUCAUCGUUCAGUACCACAUAAGCCAAAUAUCCUUGACAACCUUUCGACAACAAUCUUUUGGCUUUCAUGGCAGAAAUAAUACCAUGCCUCACUCUACUAGGCUCUCAUACAAAUGUAACUUCAGGUAAUCCAGGACGAUGAAAGGUGAUUGUCUUUCCAUAACAAUCUAUCUUGGCAUGAUUAUAAUGCAACCAAUCAGUGCCUAAAAUCACAUCAAAAUCCAUAAUAUCCAAUGGCAUAAGAUUAGAUGGCAUAACAACAUCCUCUAUCAUCAUUGGACAUCCUAGAUAUACCCGAUCCACAAAACAUCUAUCCCCUAUAGGCAUAGAA
rnacentral:lncRNA from 1 species